UGGGGAAUAUUGCACAAUGGGCGCAAGCCUGAUGCAGCCAUGCCGCGUGUGUGAAGAAGGCCUUCGGGUUGUAAAGCACUUUCAGCGAGGAGGAAGGGUUCAGUGUUAAAUAGCACUGUUCAUUGACGUUACUCGCAGAAGAAGCACCGGCUAACUCCGUGCCAGCAGCCGCGGUAAUACGGAGGGUGCAAGCGUUAAUCGGAAUUACUGGGCGUAAAGCGCACGCAGGCGGUUUGUUAAGUCAGAUGUGAAAUCCCCGCGCUUAACGUG
rnacentral:rRNA from 1 species